UUUAUGGAGAGUUUGAUCCUGGCUCAGGAUGAACGCUGGCGGCGUGCCUAAUACAUGCAAGUCGAGCGAACGGACGAGAAGCUUGCUUCUCUGAUGUUAGCGGCGGACGGGUGAGUAACACGUGGAUAACCUACCUAUAAGACUGGGAUAACUUCGGGAAACCGGAGCUAAUACCGGAUAAUAUUUUGAACCGCAUGAUUCAAAAGUGAAAGACGGUCUUGCUGUCACUUAUAGAUGGAUCCGCGCUGCAUUAGCUAGUUGGUAAGGUAACGGCUUACCAAGGCAACGAUGCAUAGCCGACCUGAGAGGGUGAUCGGCCACACUGGAACUGAGACACGGUCCAGACUCCUACGGGAGGCAGCAGUAGGGAAUCUUCCGCAAUGGGCGAAAGCCUGACGGAGCAACGCCGCGUGAGUGAUGAAGGUCUUCGGAUCGUAAAACUCUGUUAUUAGGGAAGAACAUAUGUGUAAGUAACUGUGCACAUCUUGACGGUACCUAAUCAGAAAGCCACGGCUAACUACGUGCCAGCAGCCGCGGUAAUACGUAGGUGGCAAGCGUUAUCCGGAAUUAUUGGGCGUAAAGCGCGCGUAGGCGGUUUUUUAAGUCUGAUGUGAAAGCCCACGGCUCAACCGUGGAGGGUCAUUGGAAACUGGAAAACUUGAGUGCAGAAGAGGAAAGUGGAAUUCCAUGUGUAGCGGUGAAAUGCGCAGAGAUAUGGAGGAACACCAGUGGCGAAGGCGACUUUCUGGUCUGUAACUGACGCUGAUGUGCGAAAGCGUGGGGAUCAAACAGGAUUAGAUACCCUGGUAGUCCACGCCGUAAACGAUGAGU
rnacentral:rRNA from 1 species